rnacentral:piRNA from 1 species
UAUAAAAAGAGGCAUGAAAACAGAAAUGGAC